CAUAAUAGCGCGUUCGUCGGUGCCCGUUCAGGGCCGAAGAGGGAACACGGAAGAGCAUCGCUCCGACCGUGGCUGCCCCCGCAACUGUCAGCAGCGAGUCCGCGUCACAGGCCACUGGGCAACCGGGAAGGCGACGCCGGGCGACGACCUGCCAGCCAGGAGACCUGCCGGCGAGAGGAGUCGCGAG
rnacentral:ncRNA from 1 species